UCAUAUGCUUGUCUCAAAGAUUAAGCCAUGCAUGUCUAAGUACGUGCCUAAGAAAGGUGAAACCGCGAAUGGCUCAUUAAAUCAGUUAUGGUUCCUUAGAUCGUACCUUACUACUUGGAUAACUGUGGUAAUUCUAGAGCUAAUACAUGCAGCAGAGCUCCGACCUUCGGGGACGAGCGCUUUUAUUAGACCAAGACCAAUCGGACUUCGGUCCGAAGCUCAUGGUGACUCUGGAUAACUUUGGGCUGAUCGCACGGUCUCGUACCGGCGACGCAUCUUUCAAGUGUCUGCCUUAUCAACUUUCGAUGGUAGGUUAUGCGCCUACCAUGGUCGUAACGGGUAACGGGGAAUCAGGGUUCGAUUCCGGAGAGGGAGCCUGAGAAACGGCUACCACAUCCAAGGAAGGCAGCAGGCGCGCAAAUUACCCACUCCCGGCACGGGGAGGUAGUGACGAAAAAUAACAAUACGGGACUCUAUUGAGGCCCCGUAAUUGGAAUGAGUACACUCUAAAUCCUUUAACGAGGAUCUAUUGGAGGGCAAGUCUGGUGCCAGCAGCCGCGGUAAUUCCAGCUCCAAUAGCGUAUAUUAAAGUUGUUGCGGUUAAAAAGCUCGUAGUUGGAUCUCAGUUCCAGACGGGUGGUCCACCUCUGGUGGUUACUGCCUGGCCUGAACAAAUCCAGCCGGUUUUCCUUGAUGCUCUUCACCGAGUGUCUUGGGUGACCGGCACGUUUACUUUGAAAAAAUUAGAGUGCUCAAAGCAGGCGUGACGCCUGAAUAAUGGUGCAUGGAAUAAUGGAAUAGGACCUCGGUUCUAUUUUGUUGGUUUUCGGAACACGAGGUAAUGAUUAAGAGGGACAGACGGGGGCAUUCGUAUUGCGACGCUAGAGGUGAAAUUCUUGGACCGUCGCAAGACGAACUACU
rnacentral:rRNA from 3 species